CUUGCCAUCUACUACACAAAACACACGCAUCAUCGUAAGUGAGAUCGAGGGAGCUAAUUAAUCAACUAGCUAGCUUGCACAAAUUAAUGGCGUCCAACAAGGCUUUCGUUGUGUUCACUCUCCUGAUGCUGGUGGCUGCAUCUGCCGUCGUCGACGUCGCCUCUGCCGACGGCAAGUGCGGGCCUUGCAACUGUAAAGGCUGCUGCGACUAUGACGGCAAGUGCAUGAGCUACUGCAGCGGCCAUAGCGGCCCAUGCUGCAAGUGGAAAGGCAAGUGCCACGGCUGCUGCUCAUGAGCACGACGAGGCAAGAACCGAACGAAUAAUGGAUUAUGACAAAUAAAAACGCACACAUAAAACCUUACAGAUAUAUGUAUCUGCUAUACAUGCAUGAUGAUGUGCUUGUAUAGCUACUUAAUUAUCCCUAUAGCUGUUUGCUUGGUCAAUAAAGGAUUGCAUCUGCUGUGUGUAUACUGUGUACACACGGCUAGCUAGUAUGUAUGUAUGUAUAUGCUCUUAUACAAGGGCUAUACGUACGCAACAAUCCGUGCCUUUGGUGUCGUCAGUCGUAGUGUCGUGUCAGGUAUUGUAGUAUUGUAAUUUGUGCUGAUCUAUGAAUAAAAUGCGUUAUAAUAACGCUUCUAUA